ensembl:lncRNA
CUGUUCUUCACCAUACUAUUCCUCUGUUCUUCACCAUACUAUUCCUCUGUUCUUCACCAUACUAUUCCUCUGUUCUUCACCAUACUCUCUCCAGAACACUGAUGCCUUUCUGUAGUGUUUGGGUACUUCGUUAUAUUUCAGUCCACAUUAAUAACCCUUUACAGUUCAUAGGUCAACUACAUGCUAGCUGCAUCUGGACUCCACCUUCAGUCCAGUAGACGGUGGUUUAUUACUUGCUUAGAGAAGAGCAAAUAUGUUCUAAACCAGGGGUCUGUUCAGGAGUAACAUAUUUUUUCCAAUUGAAAAAAUGUACUAAAUUAACUUGGCUAUUUAGAGAGCAAAUUUUUGUUUUCCAUUUGUGCUUUCUGAACGUAACCCAACCCAGGGUUGUUCUCUCUGUGGAUACACAGUGUUGCAGGUAGAAAUAGCAUCUAUAUAUCACAUUUCACAAGGAAAAUAGAAUGUCUUCUCUAUUAGAUGUAAAAUCUAUCUGUAACAUUGUUUCUCUGUUCCCUGUCUUCUCUAUUAGAUGUAAAAUCUAUCUGUAACAUUGUUUCUCUGUUCCCUGUCUUCUCUAUUAGAUGUAAUAUAUAUCUGUAACAUUGUUUCUCUGUUCCCUGUCUUCUCUAUAGAUUGUUUCUCCGUUCCCUGUCUUCUCUAUAGAUUGUUUCUCUGUUCCCUGUCUUCUCUAUUAGAUGUAAUAUAUAUCUGUAACAUUGUUUCUCUGUUCCCUGUCUUCUCUAUAGAUUGUUUCUCCGUUCCCUGUCUAAUAUGUGCCUCCCAAAUGGCACCCAUAGGGCUCUGGCUACAGGUUGUGCACUACAUAGGGAAUAGGGCCCUGGUUAAAAUUGUGCACUACAUAGGGAAUAGGGCCCUGGUUAAAGUAGUGCACUACAUAGGGAAUAGGGCUCUGGCUAAAGUAGUGCACUACAUAGGGAAUAGGGUUCUGGUUAAAGUAGUGCACUGCAUAGGGAAUAGGGUGCCAUUUGGGAUGCACCCCUGGACUAACUAACUCAGAGGUCCUGAACAGUCAUUCUGAUUCCCAUGUAAAGUAGCCUUUUGAGUGACCAAAACAUCACCCAUAAUUAUUAUUUUUUUCUCCUCUAGAAAUGCUCUGAAUGUUAAAAAAAAAUGUAAAAGUAUUUUUUUAUUUUAUGUCAAACUACCAGGAAGUCUGAAAAGACAGAUUGUGCGGGGAGAUCACCUGACGGUUCUUUGGAAACGGCCAUGUCAAGCAACAUGGACGCAGUGUUGCCAUGUUGCAGUGACAUUAUCUCAAGCAAAUUGCGUGCAACUUCCAUUCCUUUCAGACAUCACAUCAUGGUUUCAGAAAUAUAUAUAUAUUUAUUUAUUUAUUGUCAGCACCAUUUUAUAUAGCUAUCUUGGACAAUUUGAUUUGAAACGACAGGGUGGAGUCUGGGUAAACGUCAUGCAUUUUAUAUAUGUUGACUGCCAGACAAUGGUCAUAUAUCAUGACUAUGUCAAGAAGUUUGCAACGUUAAUGUAACGACAUGGCCUUUGGUGUAUUAAAAUAAGAGUUUAUUUUUGUGACCUCCUCCUGAGUCCAAGUGUUUGACAAGUGGGGGAGGGGUAUCAGUAACUUUAUGAUCCAACUUGAUCAAUGUAGAAGCAACAGUCAUUUAUCAUACAUUGGUCUUCCUACUUUGAUCUGGUUUCAACCAAAUAUCAUGAAACUUCAUGAAGAAAAAAACAAUUUUGACUGUUCAGGACCUUUAACAGAACAUGGUUUGGUGACAGGGUCUUAUUUGUAUGCUAUGUAAAUAAUACCAUUUUAUUUAUUUGAAAAGUUCAACAAUAUAUUUAUCUACAUCUGAACAAUAACAAUACAAGUCAGUGUACAUAUACGCGGAUCAACUUCCCGUCACAUGACUCUGUGGGGAUGAUGUCACUUCCUCUGUAACAGUGUCUUCUGGGUACUGUAGUACUUCACGUGUCACCGCAGUAGCUACCUGGGAAAUGCGAUGCGUUGAGUUCAACUCCUCUCCCCAGUGCACCAGUGUGUUAAAAUUGGUUGUGUAUGAUAUCUAAACCUCUGUUCAACUACAGUUUAUU